CCUACGGGCGGCAGCAGUGGGGAAUAUUGGACAAUGGGCGAAAGCCUGAUCCAGCCAUGCCACGUGUGUGAAGAAGGCCUUCGGGUUGUAAAGCACUUUCAGUGGGGAAGAAAGCCUUGGGGCUAAUACCCUCGAGGAAGGACAUCACCCACAGAAGAAGCACCGGCUAACUCCGUGCCAGCAGCCGCGGUAAUACGGAGGGUGCGAGCGUUAAUCGGAAUUACUGGGCGUAAAGCGCGCGUAGGCGGUCUGAUAAGCCGGUUGUGAAAGCCCCGGGCUCAACCUGGGAACGGCAUCCGGAACUGUCAGGCUAGAGUGCAGGAGAGGAAGGUAGAAUUCCCGGUGUAGCGGUGAAAUGCGUAGAGAUCGGGAGGAAUACCAGUGGCGAAGGCGGCCUUCUGGACUGACACUGACGCUGAGGUGCGAAAGCGUGGGUAGCAAACAGGAUUAGAUACCCUGGUAGUC
rnacentral:rRNA from 1 species